UACGUAGGGUCCGAGCGUCGUCCGGAAUUAUUGGGCGUAAAGAGCUCGUAGGCGGUUUGUCGCGUCGAAUGUGAAAACCCGGGGCUCAACCCCGGGCCUGCAGCCGAUACGGGCAAGCUAGAAUUCGGUAGGGGAGACUGGAAUUCCUGGUGUAGCGGUGGAAAUGCGCAGAUAUCAGGAGGAACACCGGUGGCGAAGGCGGGUCUCUGGGCAGUAACUGACGCUGAGGAGCGAAAGCGUGGGGAGCGAACAGG
rnacentral:rRNA from 1 species